GCAACACUCUUACCCGGCUGUCAUAUUUGACUUUAGAACCAAACUUUUGCAAACAUUGUAAGCGUCGGGCGAAGCAUUUCGUCUUUUUGUUAAGUGGAAGUUUCUUAUAAUUUUCUCAUAAAGAAGCAGAAUAAAAAUAAGUUUUCGAUAGCUGCAUUAAGUGGAAACUUUGUACUAAAAUGAAUAAUAAAAGUUUUAAAAAUGCCAUAUCAUAAAUCUUUUCGCUGCUCUUCAUCCUCAAACAAACGAACAGCUUCAAUCUACACCCUUCCUGCGUCAAGGAGAGUUCGUACUAAGGUAAACAAGCCGAGCACUAACUUCACACACAGUACGUCCAAAUUUGACAGACUGCCCGAUAAAACUAGUAUAGUACCAACGGUUGGUUUGAUAUACUGGACACCUUAUGAUAUCUCAUCCUUUUUAGAUGUCCGAUAUAAUGUAAAGAAAUCGAAAAGGGCGUACAAAAUACGAAAAUCUGCUUUCAGAAUUCGUACUAAGUAUGAAGACAUUCCUACAGACUUACUUACCGAAAAAGACAAGGCCUCUAUCAAAUGGGCUGAGCAAAAUACUGAUUUCCGCUUUCCGAAUUCAUCUUUAUAUGACCCCAACAAAAGGCGUCAACCAUCAGAAGAGUCUUUAAUCAAUGACGAUCUUCAAGCAGACAAAGCAUCCAUUUUUUGAUUUGGACGAUCGUAGACUUUAGUAAACCCAAUGGUGCUAAAUCUCCUUAUAACUGGAGCAAUGUAGAAAUAGCUUUAAUGAAAUAAUUUAAAUAAGUGUUAGAGGAAAAUCCUGAUCCUUCACCUUAAUGUAGAGAUGCUGGUUGGUAUCAAAACCAAAUUAAAUUAAUAACUUGCUCUGAUCAACGUCCAACUGACCUUUAUAAAUUGGCUAAAGUUGCAACCCAAACGUUCCCACAAAAGAUUAGCAAGUGUUUGAGGUCAGUGAAGUCAACAAUCACCUACGACAAGUUGUUAUCCUUCUUAAUGCAAACAACAGCCAGGCACUAUGAACGUUAAGCGUCCGAUGAUUUAGGUUCCACAAAGUGCAGUACCCGAUUAUGACGUUAAUGAUAACACUCAAAGCACUACCUUAAGCACAAAGGCAGCGGAUGAGAGUCGGAAUAGUUUAAUCCUCACUAAAGGUGAUUUGGAAGGUGAUUUUCUAUCAGACCAGUAGGACCUAAAUUGAAUAUAAUUAAUAAACAUCUAUAUGGUGAAGCUAAUUUAGAUUAGUCUUCAUUAUAAACUGCACUAAUCCUUCGUCUAUCCCAACCCAAUAAUGAAGUAUGCCCAUUAAAUUUAUAAGGUUACAUGAACAUUCAGUCACAAAGUCUAAUCAUAUAAGUAAACACACAUCCAAAUCUACCUGAACUGUGUUAAGCUAUUCGAGCUACAACGAACACCCUUUGCAAUCCAAUGACGUCAUACAUAGCAAUGCAAAAUCUCAUCAUUAGGUCUGGGGCAGCUCGAACAUAUUAGUGUCGUGCAUUGUCACGAGAUAGAACUGAAGAGAAAUAUGUUGGGUGGAAACGCAAUAUUGAAGAGGGAAAAAUAUUGAAGAGCAAGGAAAAGGAUAUCGUAGCGCAGAAUUAAGAAUGCUAGUGAACACAAUAAAGCAAAAACAAAAAAUUAAAACCAAUUUAACA